CGAGCGAAGGAUUAAGAGCUUGCUCUUAUGAAGUUAGCGGCGGACGGGUGAGUAACACGUGGGUAACCUGCCCAUAAGACUGGGAUAACUCCGGGAAACCGGGGCUAAUACCGGAUAACAUUUUGAACCGCAUGGUUCGAAAUUGAAAGGCGGCUUCGGCUGUCACUUAUGGAUGGACCCGCGUCGCAUUAGCUAGUUGGUGAGGUAACGGCUCACCAAGGCAACGAUGCGUAGCCGACCUGAGAGGGUGAUCGGCCACACUGGGACUGAGACACGGCCCAGACUCCUACGGGAGGCAGCAGUAGGGAAUCUUCCGCAAUGGACGAAAGUCUGACGGAGCAACGCCGCGUGAGUGAUGAAGGCUUUCGGGUCGUAAAACUCUGUUGUUAGGGAAGAACAAGUGCUAGUUGAAUAAGCUGGCACCUUGACGGUACCUAACCAGAAAGCCACGGCUAACUACGUGCCAGCAGCCGCGGUAAUACGUAGGUGGCAAGCGUUAUCCGGAAUUAUUGGGCGUAAAGCGCGCGCAGGUGGUUUCUUAAGUCUGAUGUGAAAGCCCACGGCUCAACCGUGGAGGGUCAUUGGAAACUGGGAGACUUGAGUGCAGAAGAGGAAAGUGGAAUUCCAUGUGUAGCGGUGAAAUGCGUAGAGAUAUGG
rnacentral:rRNA from 1 species